rnacentral:rRNA from 1 species
AUGGUGGACCCAGUGAGCCUGGUGGGCAUGAUCCUAACGAUGGUGCAACUGAUCGCAAGCGCCGCGGAGACUGCACGGCAGAACAAGAAGAAGUGCUGGGAGCUCGCCCAACGCGCGCGCACUCUGGCCAACGUACUGCCCGACUCCAAAUACCCGGCGGCGAACGACCAGGAGACGGAGACAGUGAUGAGGAGGCUCGAGGAGACCCUCCACGAAGCGUUGACGCUCAUCCAGUCCUGCCAGACUGUAACUGUAUUCUCCCGUAGCCGGAAGGCCGCCGAAUUAGAUGGGGUUAAUAGAAAGAUCAACGACUGCAUCACGGACCUCAAUUUCAUCAGACAAUGGUCACUGAUGGCCGGAGUGGUGCGCCUAUGGAACGAUUGGGAGGCCCAAAUCCUAGUGCUUGCUAGCUUUAUGCUGCAAGUGUUCCUGCUCAUGUUCGCCAGGAUGCGACGACGGAACAUCUCCAUCAUCCCAAGGACCCUCCUCUGGCUAGCAUACCUGCUGGCAGACUCCAUAGCGAUAUACAUCCUCGGCCACAUGUCCUUCUAUGGAAAGUCCCACGGGCACCAACAACUCAUGGCGUUCUGGGCGCCAUUCUUGCUAGUGCACCUCGGUGGCCAGGACAACAUCACCGCCUACUCCAUAGAAGACAGCCAGCUCUGGCUGCGCCACCUGCUCUCUUUUGUUGUUCAGACAGUGGGAGUGGCUUAUGUCCUCUACAAGUAUGUCGCUGGCAGCUGGACCUUGGCCACAGCCGCGAUGCUGAUAUUUGUCGCCGGUGUUCUCAAGUAUGGGGAGAGAGUAUGGGCGCUCAAGUCGUCCAGCCUGGAGAACAUGAUUAGUUUCCUCGACAGCAGGAAGUUGAGUGAGGCUAAACGAGAACAACAUGCACAGCAGGGCCAAGGGGAAAAGCUGGAUCCUGAAGAGGUUCUGCAAGGAGCUCAUGAUUUGCUCCCCAUUUGCAUGGCUCAGUUUGUGGACUAUAAGUUCUGGCCAUCCCAAUUUCAGAGUAAAGCUGUAGAGCUAUUCGAUAACAAGGGCCAAAUGUUUGAAUUGGUUGAGAUGCAGCUCUCCUUGAUGUAUGAUUUCCUAUAUACCAAGGCAGCGGUGGUCUUCACAUGGUAUGGAUGCUUCAUCCGUGUCAUUUCGUCAGCUGCCACCAUCAGCACUUUCUUCCUAUUUCAAUCAAGCAUUGGCAAAAAUGUCUUCAACAGAGUUGAUGCCAUUGUCACAUACAUCUUAAUAGCUGGGGCUGUCCUCCUAGAGAUGAUAGCAUUGUUGAAGGCAAUGGGAUCAACAUGGACAUGCGCAUUGUUGCAUGCUGGAAGAUGGCACUGGCUUCACGGAAUAAUCGUAUCUAUCCGGCGGCGUGUCAAGGCUGCGGAAAGAAAUAGAAGAUGGUCAGGUUCCAUUGGACACCCUGAGUUGCUGAACUCGUCCCAUGGCAGUGGAGGCUGUGUGCAGAGCUUGAGAUGCAAAGGUUUGUGGAAGAAGCUAGGCCAGUCCUUACCUCUCAUUUCAGAUGAUACUAAGAAACUGGUGUUGGAAGAGGUACGAAGAAUGGUGGAGGCAUGUGAAGGCAAAGAGGAUAUCAUGAGGAGUUACAGUGGUCAGUGCGCGCUGAAUCCAUGGCACGGAUUUUUCAAGGAUCCCACCUCGCACGCUGGCAUUGAUUUUGAUGACAAAAUCCUUUCUUGGUACUUUGCCACCAAAAUGUUCUUCUCACAGUCGUCUAAUGUGGAAGAGCGAGAUGAUGUUAUGGAGGCAGUCAGGGCAGUGUCUAACUACAUGAUUUUCCUCCUUGCUGAACGUCCAUACAUGCUUCCUAGCCCUGUUCGCCCGGGAUUGUAUGCCAAUACUGAAGCAGCAUACAUGGGGCUAGAUUUUUUUGACAUGGAACACCUCAGCAGAAGGGGGGAGCUGGACAGAAGAAGAAGAAUGUGGGAUCUGGACACAAGAAGGGACGGGGACGAGCUAUACAGAGUAAGGGGGAAGCUGGACAUAAUAAGGGAGGAUCUGGACGUGAUAAGAGAGCAUUUGGUCAGAAAAAGGAAGGAUCUGGGCAGAAAAAGGUGCAAUAGAGCGGAACUAUACAGUGCAAUGGAGGUGCUGGAUAGAAGUUUGGCGGAGCUGAACAGGAGAUUGGAGGAGCUGGAUGAUUUAAGGUUAGAGGUGGGCACUAGAAGGGAGAAGUUGGAGGUGCUAGACAGAAAAAGUAAGAGGCUAGAUAAAAAGAGGGAGGAGCUGGACAAAAGAAGCAAGGAGCCUCCAUCUCCCUUGGUCCUCGCUAGAGGGACGAUGUUGGAGGAUCCAGAGGAGCUGGACAGAAGAAGGGAGGAGCUGAACAGAAGGAGGUCUGAGCUUAACGCUAGAAGGGAGGAGAACCUGGACGUGGACCUAGAGGAGCUGAAGAGAACAAUAAAAAGACUAGAGGAGCUAGACAGGAGAGUGCAUCUCGGACCUCCACCUUCCUUGAUCCGUGGAGCGGAGCUUGCUGUUUGGCUGCUAGAGGCGGAGAAGGCGCGGGGCAAGCAGGAGGUGCGGCGCGUGCUACUUGGGGUGUGGGUGGAGAUGAUGUGCUAUGUGGCCCACCGCUGCACUAGGGAUUCCCACGCCAAGCAGCUUAACAGUGGUGGUGAGUUCAUUACCGUCGUCUGGCUUCUGUCCACUGCCGUGUUCAAUCGCCGGUACUGUGACGAGGAUUGGUUUAAGAGUGGCGUGUGGGAGUUCUUCAGGCCACCAUUCCAACUUGAGGAGGAGCAUGAGGACGACGACGACGAAGCAGGGGAGGAUGGCGGUGGGGUUCAACACCUCCAGCCGUACUCCGACGACGACUCCUCAGUCUCCUCUGUUUCUGCUUCCACCUCCUCCUUGUCCGCCGUGCCCUCGCAUGGCGCGCUUUUCCUGCGUGAUGAGCCCACAUCCGGCGCCAAGCUUACGAACAUCUCCAUCGUUCCAAGGACCCUCCUCUGGCUUGCAUAUCUGCUGGCGGACGCCACAGCGAUAUACAUCCUCGGCCACAUGUCCUUCUAUGGCAAGUCCCACAAGCACCAACAACUCAUGGCAUUCUGGGCACCGUUCCUGCUGGUGCAUCUUGGUGGCCAGGACAACAUCACCGCCUACUCCAUAGAAGACAGCCAGCUCUGGCCGCGCCACCUGCUCUCUUUUGUUGUGCAGACUGUGGGAGUGGCUUAUGUCCUCUACAAGUAUGUCGCUGGCAGCUGGCCCUUGGCCACAGCCGCAGUGUUGAUAUUUGUCAGCGGUGUUCUCAAGUAUGGGGAGAGAGUAUGGGCGCUCAAGUUCUCCAGCCUGGAGAACAUGAGUAAGUUCCUCGACAACAGGAAGUUGAGCGAGACUAAACGAGAACAAUAUGCGCUGUGGGGCCAAGGGGACAAGUUGGAUCCUGAAGAGGUUCUGCAGGGAGCUCAUGACCUUCUCCCCAUUUGUAUGGCUCAGUUUGUGGACUAUAAGUUCUGGCCAUCCCCAUUCCAAAGUAGAGCUAUAGAGCUAUUUGAUAAGAAUGGCCAAAUGUUCGAGUUGGUUGAAAUGCAGCUCUCCUUGAUGUAUGAUUUUCUAUAUGCGAAGGCAGCGGUGGUCUUCACAUGGUAUGGAUGCUUCAUCCGUGCCAUUUCAUCAGUUGCCAGCAUCACCACUUUCUUCCUAUUUCAAUCAAGCAUUGGCAAAAAUGACUUCAACAGGGUUGACACCAUUGUCACAUACAUCUUAAUAGCUGGGGCUGUCCUCUUAGAGGUGACAUCAUCGUUGAACGCAAUGGGAUCAACAUGGGCAUGCACAUUGUUGCAUGCUAGAGGAUGGCAUCGGCUUCACAACACAAUCUUAUCUGUCCGGAGGUGUGUUAGGGCUGCAGAAAGAAAUAGAAGAUGGUCAGGUUCCAUUGGAGACCCCGAGUUGCUGAACUUGUCCCAUGGCAGUGGAGGCUGCGUGCAGAGCCUGCGAUGCAAAGAUUUGUGGAAGAAGCUACACCACACCCUACCUGUCAUUUCAAAUGGUACUAAGAAAUUGGUGUUGAAAGAGGUACGGAGAAUGGUGGAGGCAUGUGGUGGCAAAGAGGAUAUCAUGAGGAGUUACAGUGGUCAGUGCGUGCUGAAUCCAUGGCGCGGGUUCUUCAAGGAUCCUACCUCGCAUGCUGGCAUUGAUUUUGAUGACAAAAUCAUUUCUUGGUACUUUGCCACCAAAAUAUUCUUCUCAUGGUCGUCUUGUGUGGAAGAGCAUGAUUAUGUUGAGGCAAUCACAGCAGUUUCUAACUACAUGAUAUUUCUCCUUACUGAACAUCCCUACAUGCUGCCUAGCCCUGUUAGGCCCGGAUUGUAUGCCAAUAAUGAAGCAACAUAUGUAGGGCUUGAUUUUUCUGACAGGGAACGUAUCAGCAAAAGGUUGGGGCUGGACAGAAGAAGAUUGUGGGAUCUGGACACAAGAAUGGAGCUGUCUAGAGUAAGCGCGAAGCUGGACAGAAUAAGAGAGGAUUUGAACGUAAUAAGCAAGGAUCUGAACAGGAAAAAGGAGGAGCGGCGUAGAAAACUGAUUAAUUUGGUCGAUACAAGGGUGGAGCUCGACAGAAGUUGGGAGGAGCUAAACAGAAGGAGGGAGGAGCUGGCUGUUUUAAGGAUUUUUGAGAAAUUUUACACCGUUAAUCUGUUGGCAUAG